UGUUAUAAACCAUCUUGUCAGUGGAUGGGCACCACUUGAAAACCUUUUCUAUUAAAUUAUACGCCUUUUUAUUGCUUAAAAUAUUAAACUGUGACGAUGUUUGUAUUAGCCUACUGAUCCGGGGACUAAUACAGGGGAUCAGCGGGACUCCCAGAGGGAGGUCCCCACAUGUGUGCUGUAUAAACCGGUGGUGAAAAGCACCAUCACCACCGGUUUAUCUUACGAGCUAGUGUGAUAACUAUCACCAUCAUCGCCAGCUUGUAACACAAACCAGCAAUGAUGUCCAAGAGUUCGAACCCGAAAUUUUUAUACACCUUGGUUGAUAGACACAACUUCCGUCUGCCUACCUCCCCACCCUCGGGCCCUAUCCCCUCCAUUUCUUCACCCUGCUCAGAGCUCUCCCUCUACCUUAUCUUUCUCCCCUUUGCUGCCUUAUCUUCCCCAUGCCGUUGUUCUCCCUCCACCUUAUCUUCCUCCCCUGGGCUUUAUCUUCCUCUGCCUCUCUCCUCUAAGAGCUCUCCCUCCCUUUGCUGCCCCUCCCCCCCUUUCCU
rnacentral:lncRNA from 1 species